rnacentral:rRNA from 1 species
CCUACGGGAGGCAGCAGUCGAGAAUCAUUCACAAUGGGGGAAACCCUGAUGGUGCGACGCCGCGUGGGGGAAUGAAGGUCUUCGGAUUGUAAACCCCUGUCAUGUGGGAGCAAAUUAAAAAGAUAGUACCACAAGAGGAAGAGACGGCUAACUCUGUGCCAGCAGCCGCGGUACUACAGAGGUCUCAAGCGUUGUUCGGAAGCACUGGGCGUAAAGCGUGCGUAGGCUGUUUCGUAAGUCGUGUGUGAAAGGCGCGGGCUCAACCCGCGGACGGCACAUGAUACUGCGAGACUAGAGUAAUGGAGGGGGAACCGGAAUUCUCGGUGUAGCAGUGAAAUGCGUAGAUAUCGAGAGGAACACUCGUGGCGAAGGCGGGUUCCUGGACAUUAACUGACGCUGAGGCACGAAGGCCAGGGGAGCGAAAGGGAUUAGAUACCCUUGUAGUC